UACGGCGGGUGCAAGCGUUAAUCGGAAUUACUGGGCGUAAAGCGCACGCAGGCGGUUUGUUAAGUCAGAUGUGAAAUCCCCGGGCUCAACCUGGGAACUGCAUUUGAAACUGGCAAGCUAGAGUCUCGUAGAGGGGGGUAGAAUUCCAGGUGUAGCGGUGAAAUGCGUAGAGAUCUGGAAGAAUACCGGUGGCGAAGGCGGCCCCCUGGACGAAGACUGACGCUCAGGUGCGAAAGCGUAGGUAUCAAACAGG
rnacentral:rRNA from 1 species